GGUAAUUCAAUGGAAAUUGUGGAAUUCAGGAGAAAAGAGCCGAAGAAGGACCAAAACGCAACAAUUUGAUAGUUCGAGGACCAAAGGUGCAAAUAUUGAAAAGUUGAGCUAAAUGCAAAACGAGAGGGAAGACAUGCCAAGUAUGAGCUCAAUGACAAAGCAAAACAAAUGGAAGAAGAAAAUAUUGAAGAGGGACUGAAAUGAAGACAAUUGAAAGUUGGAGGACUAAAGCGCAAAUACUCAAAAGAUAUGCCGAAUGAGAGGCAUGAGAAUUGAUGGUAUCAAUCAUCAAUUGGAAGAUAAAAUUUGUUGAAAAGAUGAAGAAAUCGAAGAAAGAAGUCAAGAGAAGCAACAAAGAAGUUCAGGGACCAAAUUGAACAAACCACAUAGAUGGUUACUUCUAUGCGACCGCAUAGUGUAACCUUCUAUGCGGUCGCAUAGAAGGCUUCAGGGACUCAAUGAGCCCAAAAAAUUUGAACUAUGCGACCGCAUAGAUUCCUUCUAUGCGGUCGCAUAGAAGGAUUUUUGAAUUUCGGGCGCAGUUUUUCGGUUUAGUUGAAACUCCUUUCCUACUUAAUUUGGACGCGAUAUAAAUACCAAAAUUCAUCAUAUGAAGGAAAAGAACGACCAGGGAGAAGAGAGAGACCAAAAUUGGAGGCAAGAAACUUGAUUUUGGAUUCAAUUUCACACGGGCUCGAAAUUGAAGAUUUUACACACGGAUUGAAGAAAUUCCAUACGGGUGUGUUCUUAUUAUCUUUUAAUUUCGUUUUUCAAUUUCUUGAUUUUNNNNNNNNNAUUGCAUCAUCCAUAGAAAUAUAGGCUGGUGGUGUGUAAGAGUAGAAUCAAUAUAUAUCGAGAGAGUGUGUUGGAUAAUUUAGGAACAUUGAAUUGGCAUUUUGUUCAUCGAUUCGUUGAAUUUGUGAAAUUAGGGUUUUUAAUAGUCAAUUGGGGAUUCAAGUUCUUAAUGAUUUCAUUUCAAUUCAUUUCAAUACAAUAGUUCUAAAAUUGCAUAUUUACAUUUCAGUUGCGUAUUUAUUUCAUUAGAUUAAUGAAAUUUUGAAAUUAGGGUUUCCAAUUUUGAAAUUAGGGUUUUCUUUGCAAUUAGGGUUUCGAAUUGGGGAUUUCUCCCAAAAUUAGGGUUUUCACAUUUAAACCAAAUUUUCAUUCAAUUAGAUUCGGUUAAGGUCACAUUAGUUUAAUUAGAGCUAAUUUAAUCCUCGUGGGAACGAUACUUGGACUCAUAGUCUACUUUACUACUUGUUAACGAACCGUACACUUGCGGUGG
rnacentral:lncRNA from 1 species